GGAAAGAUAUGUGUUUUCAACAACCAAACAAGGCCUUAAAGUUUCAUAAUUCUAGAUUUCAUGUGAUUCUUCAAAGUAUGUUUAUGCAAAUAGAUUAGAAGAUCAUGGUUUAUGUUGUAUUUCCAUGGCAACAAUGGGAUCUAUUACCAGCAGAUUGUCAUUGAUGCCCAUGUCGACUAUUAAUAAGAUUUUAGCCAACCUUGUCCGCUCAGUGAUACAAUCUAUCAGAGUUUCAUUAGCUAAGGCAGCUUUCUUGUAAGUAAAUUGUCACUGGCAUCCAAUUAUAUACUAUGCUGAAAGGUGCUAGUCAAUUAGCAGCUAUUUCUUAUCCCAAAUCACGUAAUUGCUAAAUUGGCAGCUUCCAGGACAGUAUCUAGAUUUAGUUCUUUGAUUCUUUAGGCAAGAUACCUUUUGCCAAAACAUAACUGUUUCUCUGAAUGUCAUUGGCCCAAGAAAUUUAUAAUCUCAUUCAGAUGACAGAAAUUAAAUUAUCAUUUCUUUUAGCUACAUAAUAUCUGUGGUUAUAUUCUG
rnacentral:misc_RNA from 1 species